rnacentral:rRNA from 1 species
UACGUAGGUGGCAAGCGUUGUCCGGAUUUACUGGGCGUAAAGAGCGCGCAGGCGGUCGUUCAAGUCGCGUGUGAAAGCCCCCGGCUCAACUGGGGAGGGUCACGCGAUACUGAUCGACUCGAAGGCAGGAGAGGGAAGUGGAAUUCCCGGUGUAGUGGUGAAAUGCGUAGAUAUCGGGAGGAACACCAGUGGCGAAGGCGGAUCUCUGGGCCAUUACUGACGCUGAGGAGCGAAAGCGUGGGGAGCGAACAGG